rnacentral:rRNA from 1 species
UGCCGCCUUCGCCACGCCCGCUCAAGAAACGUUAAAGGAAUUGGACCGGGGGCCCGCACAAGCGGUGGAGCAUGUGGCUUAAUUCGAAGCAACGCGAAGAACCUUACCAGGCCUUGACAUGCAGAGUAACCUUUCCAGAGAUGGAUUGGUGCCUUCGGGAACUCUGACACAGGUGCUGCAUGGCUGUCGUCAGCUCGUGCUGUGAAGUGUUGGGUUAAGUCCCGCAACGAGCGCCAACCCCUGCCGUCUGUUGCCACCACGAAGGGUGGGGACUCAGGCGGGACCGCCGGUGACAAACCGGAGGAAGGUGGGGACGACGUCAAGUCAUCAUGGCCCUUAUGUCCUGGGCCACACACGUGCUACAAUGGUCGGUACAAAGGGUUGCCAAGCCGCGAGGUGGAGCUAAUCCCAUAAAACCGAUCGUAGUCCGGAUCGCAGUCCGCAACUCGACUGCGUGAAGUCGGAAUCGCUAGUAAUCGUGAAUCAGAAUGUCACGGUGAAUACGUUCCCGGGCCUU